rnacentral:rRNA from 1 species
GACGAACGCUGGCGGCGUGCCUAAUACAUGCAAGUCGAACGCUUCUUUCCUCCCGAGUGCUUGCACUCAAUUGGAAAGAGGAGUGGCGGACGGGUGAGUAACACGUGGGUAACCUACCCAUCAGAGGGGGAUAACACUUGGAAACAGGUGCUAAUACCGCAUAACAGUUUAUGCCGCAUGGCAUAAGAGUGAAAGGCGCUUUCGGGUGUCGCUGAUGGAUGGACCCGCGGUGCAUUAGCUAGUUGGUGAGGUAACGGCUCACCAAGGCCACGAUGCAUAGCCGACCUGAGAGGGUGAUCGGCCACACUGGGACUGAGACACGGCCCAGACUCCUACGGGAGGCAGCAGUAGGGAAUCUUUGGCAAUGGACGAAAGUCUGACCGAGCAACGCCGCGUGAGUGAAGAAGGUUUUCGGAUCGUAAAACUCUGUUGUUAGAGAAGAACAAGGACGUUAGUA